CCCCUCUCAGGGUCACACCUGGAGAGUUCUGAAUACUCUACCAGUCUCGGCUAUGGGAGGGAGGGUCAAGCAGAGUCCUACCCAUUCCAUUCCUAGCUUGGACAGUAGCUAGUGAGUGGAAGGCGAUCGGCUACAAGU